rnacentral:misc_RNA from 1 species
UCUUCUUUUUUUUUUUUUUUCCUCAACUUGCUCCUUUUCUGUUUUAUUUAUUUAAUUAUUUUUAAUUUUCAAUAUAUAUCUACACAAUUUUUUUUUUCUUUUGGUCUCAUUUGCUCUAAUAUUUGUGGUUUCUGUUUGGCAAACCAUGUACAUUCGUUGUAGAGAAGAAAAGAAAAAUGUUGACAGUCCAAAUUAGGUUGAAUUUGAUAUUUGAUUCAUUCAACCAAAAGACAUCUUCUUUGUUGAAUUUUUGUUAAUUU